AAUUCUUUAUAGUAUCCUUUUUAUUUAUCCUUUUUUCGUUAGCGGUUCAAAACUCCUUAUCUUUCUCAUUCACUACUCUUUAUACAAAUGGAUCUGAGCGGAAAUGCUGUUCUCUUAUCACAUGUGAUAUAUAUGAUACAUGUAUAAAUGAACAUCUUUGAGUUUGAGCAAGAAAACCCCAUUUGUUUGAAUGAUUCACGAUCGAUAUUUUUAUUCAUACUGAAACUUACAAAGUUGUUCUUUUGACAAAUUAUAGGCCCGGGAUGAGGCUAUUAAAUUUAAUACGCGUUCUAUUGACAUAGACCCAAGUCUUUGAUAAAAUGAAAAUGAGGAUGAGACAUGAGGACUA
rnacentral:misc_RNA from 1 species